AGAUAUGUAGACAUGACACGAAGAUAAAAGAAAUGGUCUUUCCGGCUUCACGGCCCGCGCGUCUCGGCAUGUCUAGUCACGUGAUACCCAUGAGGAAUGCCGAGCUCAAAUUCGAUCAGAAGGACCAAGCCAAGGCGAGUAAAACUUGGGAAUAUCCUACGCGAUUGAGGGGAAACGCGGCAUCAAUUGACUAAUUAGACUUUUAAUUGGCAACCUUAAAAAAAACGCCUCACACUGCUUUCAGGCCGGUGUCGCACUGUUAAGGGGCAUUAGCAGUGUAGAUCAUGGAUCAUGGACUUGUGUUUGAUAUUGAUACUGAAAUAAGCAACAUAAAACACAUGUCCUCCUACUACUCUUUUCUUCUUUUAAGAAUUAAAAUUAAGAAUUAAAAUUCACCUAAGUUAUCCUCAUAAACAAUCAGUGAAUUAACAUGUAGAGCUGUCCAUGUAAUAACGUACGGGAUGAAUUGUUCUAAUAAUAAAUAGAAACCU